rnacentral:antisense_RNA from 1 species
GAGUACUCCCAGAUGGCCUCCCCGUCGAGGAGCGCCUGUUCGCCGAAGUACGCGCCGUCCGCGAGGACUCCGAUUACGGCGUCACCGCCGUACGGCCCCGUGCCGACCUUCUCGACCUUGCCGUGGGCCAGGAGAUAGACCUCGUUCGCGGGGCUGCCGAAGGACGCGAUCAACUCCCCGGCGGCGACCUCACGCUGCCGGCACCGCUGGGCGAGCUCGCCCAGCGUCUCCUGGUCGUCGAAGGAGCGAAGGGCCGGCAACUCACCGAGUUCUGCUGGGAUCACCCUCACCUCGUCGCCGGUCUUCACGAACGUGAUACGUCCGUCUCCGACCGAGUAACUGAGCCUGCGGUUCACCCGGUACGUACCGCCUUGCACCUGGACCCAGGGCAGCGCGCGCAGCAGCCAGCGCGAGCUGAUCUCCUGCAUCUGCGGCGCGGACUUGGUGGUGGUGGCCAGAUUCCGCGCUGCCGCAGUGCCCAAGCUCUGCUGCGGCUUGG